CUUCAUUAGUAGUCAUAACAGGCCCGUGCGGUGUGGAUGUUUGCCUUUCCUCUUUGAUGUUGGGAAUUCGGAGAUGAUUUUUGUCAUAUUUUAUAGACUUCAUCUCCUGGGCUCCCGAUUGGGAUGCGUUGAUGCCGCUUUCCGUUUCUGGAGUACUCAAAGUGUCAUUGGAACUGUGUAAUAAAUGACGAAAUCAUGCUUUUUACUGGCCAGAUGUCGUAUUUUAAAGGCUGAUUGAACUUGAACAUAUUAAUUUACUGAUGUUGUGACCCUUUCGUUUUCUGACGCGAUAAACUCUUUAAAAGUUUUUCCAACGUUUGUUUCUUCUGAAGUGCGCAUGGUUUAAAUUUGUACGUAUUGUAUUUGUGGAACUAGUUUGUGACUGGAGUCUCGUGAGUACACCUUUGCAUGUUACCAGUUGAGAUGUUUUCAUCUUAUGCUUUAUCUUUGCUGGUUAUUUCGUAACUUAAUUUUUUCCAUGUGUUCGCUCUUUCGUCGAUUCCUUUUCGUUCCGUAGUGUUUUUGUUUGUUUGUUUCUUUCUGUCUCUCUCUCUUUCUUUCUCUCUUUUUUUUCUUUCUUUCUCUCUUUCUUUCUUUCUUUCUCUCUUUCUUUCUUUCUUCCUUUCUUUCGUGUCACCUGUCGUUCAUCUUAUUUGUUCCAUUCUCUCGUUUUACUUUCUUUCAUUUCAUAUACGUACAAGAGUCAGACAUACAUCAUGCUGUUAUCCCAGUGCUUUUGGCUAUCUAUGUAUUCUGUUUUUUAUUAUGCUGUUUGGUUAAUCAUAUAUGGAGGAGCUAGAGUAUAUGAGAGAGAAAGAGAGAGAGAGAAAGUUAGAAAGAGAGAGAGAGAGAGAAAAA